rnacentral:lncRNA from 1 species
AAAUGAAACCACAAUAAGACUAAUAAUUAACUUACAAAAUUUAACUACAUUAAACUACUAAUUAAUAAAGUUAAAUAAUUAUCAAUAAAUAUUAAAUCAAAUUAAGACGAGUUAAAUUUGCAAAACUAGUGCAUGAUAAAUCGAGAAAUCGAGACGAAUUUUCUAUUCGCCGGCACACGUUGCGAGGUCACUUGAGUCUGUUCGCUGGAAUUUUUUUGACGGUGACCCGGGGAUGUCAACUUGUAGAUCGAGGUGCAAGGAGUCCCAAUAUCUGGUUAUUUUCACCAAAUGACCACCAGAAGGCCACCAAAAAUCGAACAAGUCUGGCGAAGCUACACUAACUCUGGUCACUGAUCUAGAUGCGACGUCAGGGGCUGUAACUAUCCAGGUUUGGGUUUUAAGGGGCGGGGAAGCUGAUUCUAGCUUCAGUUUGGUCGAAAAACACCGGCAAGGUGGUGAAACGACGAUGGCAGCAAAGGAGCGAUUUUCCUUCCUCCUCCCUUCGACGCUACCCAACAGUUUCAAGCAAAAACUAGAGGCGGAAAGGUGUUGGCAAUGCCAAAAACUCCCCUUGGCUGGGGUUCGACGUCCAACGGUGGCUGAAAAACAGAGAUUGGGGGAGAGAGAGGUCGACGGCAGUGGAGGGAGAAGGAGAGGAAUUAUGGUGAUAUGCACAGGGACCUAGACUGUAAUAUUUUGCAAAAUAAGAAAAUGCGAUUGACUUCUCUUUUUAAAACAUUUGCUACAGUAGACUCC